GCCGGGCAUGGUGGUGCGUGCCUGUAAUCCCAGCUACUUGGGAGGCUGAGGCAGGAGAAUCAUUUGAACCCGGGAAGCGGAGGUUGCAAUGAGCCGAGAUCACACCAUUGCACUUCCGCCCGGGUGACACAGCGAGACUCUGUCUCAA
rnacentral:SRP_RNA from 1 species